rnacentral:rRNA from 1 species
UACGUAGGGUGCAAGCGUUAAUCGGAAUUACUGGGCGUAAAGCGUGCGCAGGCGGCUUUGCAAAACAGAUGUGAAAUCCCCGGGCUUAACCUGGGAACUGCAUUUGUGACUGCAUGGCUGGAGUGCGGCAGAGGGGGAUGGAAUUCCGCGUGUAGCAGUGAAAUGCGUAGAUAUGCGGAGGAACACCGAUGGCGAGGGCAAUCCCCUGGGCCUGCACUGACGCUCAUGCACGAAAGCGUGGGGAGCAAACAGG